rnacentral:rRNA from 1 species
UUGAUCUCAAAUCAGGUAGGACUACCCGCUGAACUUAAGCAUAUCAAUAAGCGGAGGAAAAGAAACUAACAAGGAUUCCCCUAGUAACUGCGAGUGAAGCGGGAAGAGCUCAAAUUUAAAAUCUGGCGUGCCUCCGGUCGUCCGAGUUGUAGUCUGGAGAAGUGUUUUCCGUGUUGGACCGUGUAUAAGUCUCUUGGAACAGGGCGUCAUAGAGGGUGAGAAUCCCGUCUUUGACACGGACUACCAAUGCUUUGUGAUGCGCUCUCAAAGAGUCGAGUUGUUUGGGAAUGCAGCUCAAAAUGGGUGGUAAAUUCCAUCUAAAGCUAAAUAUAGGCGAGAGACCGAUAGCGAACAAGUACCGUGAGGGAAAGAUGAAAA